rnacentral:rRNA from 1 species
UACGUAGGGUGCAAGCGUUUAAUCGGAAUUACUGGGCGUAAAGCGUGCGCAGGCGGUUUUGUAAGUCUGUCGUGAAAUCCCCGGGCUCAACCUGGGAAUUGCGAUGGAGACUGCAAGGCUAGAAUCUGGCAGAGGGGGGGUAGAAUUCCACGUGUAGCAGUGAAAUGCGUAGAGAUGUGGAGGAACACCGAUGGCGAAGGCAGCCCCCCUGGGUCAAGAUUGACGCUCAUGCA